rnacentral:rRNA from 1 species
CUACGGGGCGCUGCAGUGGGGAAUAUUGCACAAUGGAGGAAACUCUGAUGCAGCAACGCCGCGUGGAGGAUGACACUUUUCGGAGCGUAAACUCCUUUUAUAUAGGAAGAAGAUGACGGUACUAUAUGAAUAAGCGCCGGCUAACUCCGUGCCAGCAGCCGCGGUAAUACGGAGGGCGCAAGCGUUACUCGGAAUCACUGGGCGUAAAGAGCGUGUAGGCGGAUUAAAAAGUCAGAAGUGAAAUCCUAUAGCUUAACUAUAGAACUGCUUCUGAAACUCUUAAUGCAGAAUAUGGGAGAGGUAGAUGGAAUUUCUGGUGUAGGGGUAAAAUCCGUAGAGAUCAGAAGGAAUACCGAUUGCGAAGGCGAUCUACUAGAACAUUAUUGACGCUGAGACGCGAAAGCGUGGGGAGCAAACAGGAUUAGAUACCCCAGUAGUC